CAGGUAGAGAAUACCAAGGCGCUUGAGAGAACUCGGGUGAAGGAACUAGGCAAAUGGUGCCGUAACUUCGGGAGAAGGCACGCUGGUGUGUAGGUGAAGCCCCUGCGGGUGGAGCUGAGACCAGUCGAAGAUACCAGCUGGCUGCAACUGUUUAUUAAAAACACAGCACUGUGCAAACACGAAAGUGGACGUAUACGGUGUGACGCCU
rnacentral:rRNA from 1 species